rnacentral:lncRNA from 1 species
CUCUUCCUGCUGUCCUUGUCUAGGAAGGAGAAGAGGUGCAGCAGGCACUCCCGGUUGAGCUGGGUUAUGUGCAUGGUGAGCAGUGGCCACAUGUCACUUCAUCCUGGCCCAGGUACUGCAGCUCCAAAUCGUGGGGAUUCUGUAAGAGCUUGCUACCUGUUGACUGAGGAGGCCCACGAGUUGAGAAGAACUAGCAAGAGUGGUACAAAACUGCAGGUCAUUGGGCUGGCCACCAGGUAUUCCCACCCACCAGAAGCUGGCUGUUGUACUCACCCGGAACCAUGGUGCACCACCACAGCGGCGAGGUCAUACAGGCAGCUCUCCGGGCCACUGUUCUCAGGCUACAGAACAAGGAAGAAGGAGCAGUGGUCAAUGACAUCAGUAUCUCGAUGACCUCUACCCUCUCCAUGUGAUGACAAUCUUACUGAAGAGCCAUUUUUUCACCAUGCUAAAAAGGGAAGAGGAGCACAGCAGUAACGCUGAUGGGAAGAAGGUGCUGACAGAUGGACUCACUGGGGUCACGGCAACAAUCGACAGUACAGGUGGCAAACAUUGUGUAAAAUACUCCAAAUCCAAGACACACAUUUAUAAAAGUCUGUAACAGGUAACAUUACAUGUUAGAGUUGUAACAAAACAGUGAUUAAAUCUCAACUAACUCUUAUAUUUGAAUAAAUUUUAAUUACUUACAUUUACUUUUAAUAACUUGCUGUUUAGUGUUGAGUUUUCCAAAAGUUUUCUUUUCUUAUGCCUGUCAGCUGUGAAAGCUGAGCUAUUAAAACACAAACAGAUAGUGA